rnacentral:rRNA from 1 species
CCUACGGGAGGCAGCAGUGGGGAAUAUUGCGCAAUGGGGGAAACCCUGACGCAGCAACGCCGCGUGAGUGAUGAAGGCCUUCGGGUUGUAAAGCUCUGUCUUUGGGGACGAUAAUGACGGUACCCAAGGAGGAAGCCACGGCUAACUACGUGCCAGCAGCCGCGGUAAU